CAUGUGUGACCUCACUGCCACGGCCCUGGGGGCGCACGGUGCCUGUCCCCAGCACCACAGCAUGGGGAGCAACUUCAGCACACGUGGACAUCAGUGUGCAGGGGCACUGAGUGGCAUCCCCAUGUUUCGGGGGGCAGAGCAUCCCGUGAUGUCCAUCAUCCCCAGCUGCUGGGCAUAGCGGAGCCAGAGCAGCCAAAACCAUGGCUCCAUCCCUCUGCAACGGGACUUCUGGUGCUAGUGGAGAUGGGUUUGAGAGGGCAGAAGGGUGAACAAAUCCCACCCAACCCAUUGCAACCUGGAAAGGGUUAAGGAGGAACCUCAGUGCACCUAAUCAAGCACCUAAUUAACACCUGCUGGCGAACAGCAGCAUUUAAAGGAGGGACAGGGCUGUAGUGAGGCUUUUGCAGGGAGGGCUGGAGGAGCAGGGGACUUUAGACCAACAAAGGUUCUAGGUGAGGGGGUUCUAGGAUGAGGUGAAAUGGACCCCAUGAAAAGAUGGAUUCAGCUGGAGAAGGAUGAGGUGAAAUGGACCCCAUGAAAAGAUGGAUUCAGCUGGAGAAGGAUUACGAGCCAGCGGAGGAGGCAGUACUUCAUUUCUCUCAGGGAAGUGCAGAAGGGAGUCCUUGGAAAAGUCAACUUGCUGAAGAGCAGAAGGGGCAACCUGGGGAUGCUUCCAGCAAGCUCCGAAUGAGAGCAAGAGCCAGGAGACAGCUGCUCGCAGAGGCAGGCAAAGCAAUAAAUAGUGAGAAAUAACAUUUAAUUACUUCUCACUCCUACUAGUCUGCGGAAGAUCUCUGAUGCUUCCCUGUAGUGAGAUCCUACACCUCUGAUCUGUGGUGUAGGGGGACCCAUGUGAUGGCUGUAGUAGAUUAUUCAUUGCUGAGGUGAUAAAUAAGCCUGAGUAGCAGGGAUCAGAGCCUGCUGGCUGGGCUGCAACCCCUGGUAAAGCCAUGGUGGGACUGCAGCAUGGACAGAGCUGCCUGAAUCUGGGCUCUGAUAGCUGAGAUGUGGCAAGUGGAAGGGUGUGUCUGAGCCCAGCUGGCUGCCAGGCAUCCUGGAGAUGGUCAGUGGAAAGUAUGACCCUGGUCAGCUGGGAAUGAACUUUUGAUGGAGGGUGGGAGGGAGUGAAUGAAGAAGGAAAGGGAUACCAGGGUGGCUGUUGUAUAAAUUUCAUGGCAUCAUAUUUGUUGGAAAAAACCUUCAAGCUCACCACGACCAACCUUAAACUGACCUGCCAAGUCCCAUGUCCCUUGGGGAUGUGGUCUCCACCACUUCCCUGUUCCAAUUCCUGGCCAUCCUCUCCAUGAAGAAAUUCUCCCUGACAUUCAGUCUGAACCUCCCCUGACACCACUUGAGGUGCUUGAGCAGCUCAAUAUGCAACUCAAUGUCCUCCCUAUAGUGAAGGGCCCAAACCUGAGCAGAGCAUUCAAGGUGUGGUCUCGCAGUGCUGUGCACAAGGGGCAAUCACUUCCCUAGUCCUGCUGGCCACGCUGUUUCUGCUGCAGGCCAGGUUUUCCUUUCUUUUGAAGGAAAUGGAUUAGGCAGCUGCUGAGACAAAAUACCUUGACUCUCUGUUUUGACACCUGGAAGCAUUCGCCAAAUUCAGCAGGGUUUUUCUACCCACCACCAACCUCCUCCUCCAUCUGUCAGCCCUUCCUCCCCAGCUGCAGUGGGGAAGCCAGCUGAUGGGUGCUGCCGUGCAGUGCAGCUCCUCUAUAACCCAGAGCCUCUCUGGUGCCACCUCUGUGCUUGCUUGUUUCCUAAAUGGCAAUUUGAGGCACACCGGGUAAACACCCUGUAACAGCUGGGUAAUUAGAGGCUGUAAAAAUGACUGCACGAGCCCCGUGUGGCACAGCAAGAAGGACUUGCCACAUGGCCCGCAUCGCAGGUAGGAAGAGAGGAGUAUUCACUUGCAAGGAAACGGUAUUUGCCCUGUAAUUACUUUGGUGCUAUGUGGUAAUUACUACGUAAUUAAAUGGUCAACAGGCACUGUCUAAACAAAAUGGCCUUAAGUGACAUUUCUGUCCUGAGGCUUAAAAUACAGCGGUGUGGUGAAGGGGAGGAAUGGAAAGGCACCGAUGGCAGCGUGAUGGAUGUAGCAGCUCCCUGCCUCCCUUGAGCUGAAGCCGGAGUGAGAAGGAAGCAUCUGACCUGUCGGUGCCAGCCUGCAGAAUGAGGGAGUGCGCCCAAAAUGAAGGAGGUAAGCACAGCGGUGCAGCCGUGCGCUGGAUCCACACAAACCUCCCCUGUCCAUGCUCCCUCUGCCCACGUAGAGAUGUAAACCGCAGCGCAUGAGCCUGGGGUGCCCUCCUUGGCUGCCGGGGAACCCCACGUGCCACCAGCCCCCCAAACCUGCUCCCAUUCCCUCCGGCAUCUCAGGGACCUGUUGGUCCCCACGCUGUUGUGCUGCUCGCAAGCCAGCAGUGGCUCCUUCUCCCUGCUGCUGUGCCUCUGCCGCCGUGUUCCCUGCGCUGCGACUUGUCCUCGCCUGACUCCCGUUACAACUAAUUAGCACCUUGACAUUUACACAGUGAGCGAGGCAGCCUUGAUGUUUGCGAAAGAACAGAAGGCACAUCUGUCUGCAUGAUCCAUCUGAAGAGGAGGAACAUGGCUAUGCGGUGUUUAUAGCAAGCAGUUGGGGGAGGAAUUAAUUUACAAAAUUUUUUGAAUGAAAACAAUUCCAAUAACUUAAGUGCCCUCUCCCUCCCACGUCAGCUGUUUACAAACUGUUGAGUUGAAUCUGUCCCACAUGUCCUUUGAACCUACCAGUAACAGAGGGAAAAAUUUGAAAUGCAUCAUGAAAAACUAAUUUUGAAAAAAAAAUAAAAAAUCCUGCCCACGGAGUUCAAA